UACAGAAAGCUUUACCUCUGGCUCCUCCUUCAAUUAUCUUUCAGUACUUCUUUGUAAUCUCCGCUAUCUAUCUAAAGAGUAACGAUGCAUCUGAUAUUUCCCUUCAAUUUUUUUUAUUUCGUUAGGCCUUGGACCAUUUUCUUCUGAAAGGUUGGACGUUUUGAGGCAAUCACGUCAGGUCAAUAUGAGAUAAUACUAUGGUUCCUUUGUUAA